UCUGAUUCUUCAAAAAUGUAAAGUAUCUUGAGCUUGACUUUGAUUUGAUUCAAGGGCUUGUAAAGCUUGAUCUUGAAUCUCAUCCUUGAACUUGAAUUUGUGUUUGAUCACGAACAAGUAUUUGAUCUUAAACGCCUUGGUAUUUGAUUUGGCUUCGUUCUUGAUGUUGAACUUGAACUUGAAUUUGUAGCUUGAGUGCUUGAAUUUGUAGCUUGUAGAGAAAUCUGCGGUGUUUGAUCCACGAGCUCUCUGCUUGCUUCUUG
rnacentral:lncRNA from 1 species